UAUAACUAGUGUUAUUUUGUCUAAUAAUUAGUGAGUUAGAUAGCUAGCUAUAAUACAAGACAAUAAAGGGUACAUAAAAACUUCUGACACUUGAACAUAUGAUGAAGUCUUCCACAUGUCAAAUAUUUCGACAUCAUAACCUGAAAUAAUAAAAUAAGAUGGAUAUCAACAUUAUUUAUGAUAGGACAUAGUAUUACUACUGCUUUAUAACAUUUGACUACUAACAAUCAGACUCUGCACUUUGUCUAUGCACUUAUUUGUAACAAUAGUCCUAUUUGCAAGAAAUUAAAUUGUAUAGGCACAAUUUCGAGCUGGAGAACAAAAGUAUAGAUCCCAAAAUAUAUGUGCUUCAAAACUUAGAUAUGCAUAAAGAAUAAUUUAAAGAUAUUCAACUUAAAGUAAUUGGUUUGAAUCUAAGCUUUUCAUGAGGUGCAAGCUAGAAAGAAACUUUAAAGAUUAUAGCAUUUAUACAAGCUUUGCCAACGUGUAUUAUAUUUGCGUUCAAUAAUUACCUAUAUACUUUUAUUUGUUUUGUUUUUGGUUAAGCCCGCUAAAUGAAUAAGAGAAAUUACAUGAAGUUCCUCAAAUAAAAAAUGCAUAGAGGAGUACAAAAUCUAUUUUAAAUUAAGACUACAUACUAAAAGUUUACUUGGAGAAAGAAUCAAACAUUUAUAAACUAAUAAAAUCCUCGCUAGCUAAGUUACAAAUUAAGAGAGAGCAUACUAAUAAACAUUUACAGUGAAGAGUUGCAGAAACGGGAAUGGGCUUUUUGAGUGUUUGUACAUACUUGUUAGAUUUGCCAGAGAAGAUUUCAGGGAUUGAGAAUUCGAUUUGUUGUUCCUAUUGUAUAACAUUUUGCUUAGUAAAGUAAGGUGGUAGAGUUUUCUACCGCAUACAACAAAAGAAAGUUGUAAAUGACCAAACUCGUAUAUUAACAUUCCAUGGAGUACGCAAACAAUCAGAAUGCAAAUAUCGAUGAAAUGAAAGACAAAAACUCAUGUCGAACCUGGCUUGUUGGGUGUUUCUUGUUUUGCUUUCUUUGCCAGAGCCAGGAGCUACUUAGGAGAUGGAGCUGGUCUCUUUUUCUUUUCAACCUUCAUCAUAAAACAUCAAUCACAUAAAAGACAAUGCUAAUUAAGAUAAAUGAAAAAAAUGAACAAACAUAAAGAUAAAAAAUUUAGUACUACCUCUUUUUGAUGUCUCUUCUUCUAAAUCUUCAUCUCCAUCCAAAUCAUCAAAAAAAUCCAUUACUUAAGGACCAUAAAAAUCCUAGUAAUCCAAAAUUUAAAAAAACUACCUACACCCGGAAAAAAUAUAAGAUAAAGCAUUUCUCCCUGUAUUAAAAGGUAAAAUCUACAUAAUAAGCAUCACAAAAAACUUUAUGAAUGGCAUAGGCACAUCACUGGAGACAUCAUCACUACCAUCUUCAUUAUCCGAGUCAUCUUCAAAAUCAUCAUCAUCUUUGUUAGAUGUCGGUUCUUUUUUUGGUUCUGCCACCUUCGCAUUUUUCUCAAUAAAUGCAACCUUAGUAAGUGCAGACUUUUUUGAAUCAUGCUUUAUAUCCUUCACAUUAUCCUCAAGUUUUCCAUUUAUGCAUCUAAAACAUUCUCUUCAUGUAAAAAAAUAUCACCUCUAGAAUCAAUUUCAUCAACGCUCAGAUCAUCAAUUGUGCAUACAAUUAAAUACACACUCCCAUUUGUUUUAGUCAUGACUCAUGUAAAAUUUUAAACUCCUUUUCAAGGACCAAGUCAAACAUCAACUAAGGUCUAUCCUCUGCCGGUAGAGUUCCAAUGAUGUAAUUAUUUUCUCCAACAGUUAGGCGUAGAGGAACAUGUUUUACUUCUUUGGCAUACUUCACUUCAUCUAUUGCAGCCUACAAAAUAAAGAUCCCUAAUAGCCAUUUAAGAGUAAAGCCACAUUAUGCUAGCUUGAGAAAGAACACAAAUAUAAUUUAUUUAUUUUUAAAAAAAGAAAGCUAACCUUGUAAAUAUGAAUGAGCUUAUAAAGUUCAGGCUUGAUUUAGAAAUCGUCUUACUUUCACUUCAACACCUACACAUAGCUCAUGUGAAAGAUAUGUCACACUUUAAUAAAUUAUGUUCAUAUGGUGUAAUUUCUGCAUCAUGAAAAUAAUUGACCAAAACCGUUAAGGUAUAGAUUAAAAAAAUAAGCACAUGUGUUAGUGGUUCAAUUUAUGUAUAUACAUAUACAAACCGAUCUAUACCUUUUUCUAGUUAUUUGGUUUUGAUUCUAGUAUGCAAUUUUAACUCCUAUUUUCUCUGCAUCUAGUUGCUAGAAACAUAAAAAAAUUCCUUUAAAUGAUACAAACAUCUGUAGCAGAAAAAUCAUGACGUCUUAAGCCUUCAAGAUUCAAUCCAUGAAGCUUAACUUUUUUUCUCAGAUACAAUAAUAUACUUUGGAACAUCGUUAGAAACCUGGAGAACAAAAUGACUAAGAUCCUAAAAAGAUAUGUGAUCUUAAAUAUAGUUAGUGUGUUGCAGUCGUAUAAUAUAUGUGGAUCUUUUUCAUUCCUUGGUGGUGGUUCAGUGGUAAGAUUCUUUCUUAAUUUUUGA
rnacentral:lncRNA from 1 species